CUUGAUUCAAUAUAAGAGGUCCAGCCUGCCCAGUGACUUUUGUUCAACGGCCGCGGUAUCCUAACCGUGCGAAGGUAGCGUAAUCACUUGUUCUUUAAAUAAGGACUAGUAUGAAUGGCAUCACGAAGGUUUUACUGUCUCCUUUUUCUAAUCAAUGAAACUAAUCUCCCCGUGAAGAAGCGGGGAUAAAUCUAUAAGACGAGAAGACCCUAUGGAGCUUUAAAUUAUUUAUCACUUGCUUAAUCCAUUGUAUUUUCAGAAUUAUACCACUUAUUCUAGCUUUCUGAUAGUAGAUUUUAGGUUGGGGUGACCGCGGAGUAAAAAAUAACCUCCACAAUGAAAGGAUACUUUCCUGAACAAAAAGCUACAACUUUAUGUACCAAAAAAUUGACAUAAAUUGACCCAAUAUUUUGAUCAACGAAC
rnacentral:rRNA from 1 species